GGGAAGGGUGGUGGGGCAAGGGGAGACGACGACACGCAGGUGACGUCCCCGACGCGACGUCACCCAGGUGAUGCGGUGCCGAGGGGCGGUAGAGCGAGGUGGAUGGGGCCGCUGCGUGUGUCCACGUCGUUGCUGGAGAAAAAUAUUACGCAUAAUUAGGCGAUGCCAAAGUGUGGGUUAGAUCGUGGGGAAUCAAGAGUUUUGGAUCCUUUCGGACUUCCCCGUCGGCCAUUGAAAAUCGUUGGAACGGCAAAGCAGAGGAGAGGAAGCUAGAAAGCGCGUGUGGAACGGAGGAUUUGCCGGUUCCUUUCCUGC
rnacentral:lncRNA from 1 species